GACGUAGGGCGCGAGCGUUGUCCGGAUUUAUUGGGCGUAAAGAGCGUGUAGGCGGCCAGAUAAGUCCGCUGUGAAAUCUCGAGGCUCAACUUCGAGCUGUCGGUGGAAACUAUCUGGCUAGAGUCCGGAAGAGGAGAAUGGAAUUCCUGGUGUAGCGGUGAAAUGCGCAGAUAUCAGGAAGAACACCCGUGGCGAAGGCGGUUCUCUGGGACGGUACUGACGCUGAGACGCGAAAGCGUGGGGAGCGAACAGG
rnacentral:rRNA from 1 species